rnacentral:rRNA from 1 species
AUGGUCAAGGACAUGGACUAUCCAGAAAUGGCAAAGAUGGAUUUCUGCGAGGUAAUCAUCAAAUGUAUUAGGGAAGGAGCCAAGACAUGGCAGAAGCACAGGAUGUUGCCUCAGGAAGAAAAGAACAAAAAGCACGUCAAUGGUUUGGCUCAGGGACCAGUAAUCAUGUACCUUGACUCCCUGCUGUUGCCAACCGACACAAAAGAAAUGCGGAAGAUUGCAAAGACAAUGGACAGGACCUCAUUACCACGAGCAAACCAUCUCAAAGAGAGUGACCUAGCAAAAAUAGCUAGAGCAGACAUGAAAACGGACGGAAAAGCACGACCAGAUGACUAUGAAUUUGGCAAGAUACAGAUAGCAGGAGAACAUCGUAAAGAACAGCAACACCAACACACAACCAAACUACUACCACCUCCACCCAAACGCCGGCGCGAACCACGUAUCGGCACUAGUGGAAGCACGGAACCAAACAAAAGCAUCAACACAGGACCAGAAGAAAGAUUCCAAAGGAUAAACAAAUUGUUGGAAAAAGUGCUCCAUGAAGCAGAACAGUUACCCACAGUAACCACCAAGGCUAAACAGGGAUGUAACGAAAAAGAAGAGAGAUUGGAUGAAAAAAACAAGGACAAAGUCGUGUAA